AUCGAACGCUGGCGGCAUGCCUAACACAUGCAAGUCGAACGAGACCUUCGGGUCUAGUGGCGCACGGGUGCGUAACGCGUGGGAACCUGCCCUUAGGUUCGGAAUAACUCCCCGAAAGGGGUGCUAAUACCGGAUAAUGUCUUCGGACCAAAGAUUUAUCGCCUUUGGAUGGGCCCGCGUUGGAUUAGCUAGUUGGUAGGGUAAAAGCCUACCAAGGCGACGAUCCAUAGCUGGUCUGAGAGGAUGAUCAGCCACACUGGGACUGAGACACGGCCCAGACUCCUACGGGAGGCAGCAGUGGGGAAUAUUGGACAAUGGGCGAAAGCCUGAUCCAGCAAUGCCGCGUGAGUGAUGAAGGCCUUAGGGUUGUAAAGCUCUUUUACCCGGGAUGAUAAUGACAGUACCGGGAGAAUAAGCUCCGGCUAACUCCGUG
rnacentral:rRNA from 1 species